CACAAAGUGUGUUUUAUUCUGUAGAAGUUCAGCGUGGUGGGGUCUUCCCCAUUACAAGGACAGAGUAAAAGCAAGUGAGCUCGCAGGCUCCAUUGAAAGCACAUUGGAAUUCCAGGGCCCUCCAAAUUACAUUGAACCAUGAACCAUGCCUCCAUCAUUUCCAAAGAAAUUGUUCCACACGGUGUUGACUUGACAUUCUAUUUCCCAAUUACUCUACUACCCUCCUACUUGGCAUGUUUGCCCAGCUCACAAGAGAUGGACUAUUUAUUAAAAUUCCUGAAUCAGAGAAACAGGAUCUCACCAGCUGGUGCCAGAUGAAACCAGUCCUUCCACUGACAGAUACACAACGCUGUUUGCUCCUGCAGGAGGAAGGGAAAACAUGUCUCACCACAACACAGCUACAUCGUCUAAGGAUGAAAACUUCUCUUAGCCUUCCUAAAAAAAGGAAGCCCGACAUGAUGACAUAGCCUGCAUGCAGUACCUGCUGCUUUGUCAGCUGAGGCUAGAAGACGGUGCUAAGUUCAAGCCAGCCAGGACAAUUCAAACUUUUAAAGGAGAAGGAAACUGGGAAUGCAUGUGAUAGAUCCUCUGUCUCCUGAUCUUGCUUGGCUACGGUUCUAAUAUAAAGUGUCCCAAUCCCCUUUACUCUUUGCAACAGUGCUUAAUGUUAUGCUUAUUCUGGGUAUGCAGUCUCCACACGCUGAACUCUGUGAUUACAGACAUAACUACCCCAUGGAACACUACAAACUUAACCCUGGUCCCCCAAAACUUGCAUAGCCAGAACCAUAACCACUAUAACCCAGUGCUCAAAUUUAUCUUCCCACUGAUUGCUGUUUUAUACGAAAGUACACUUAAAAUUUAAAACAGUUACUAUUUACAGAAAUGUUAAUUCCUACCGAGGU